rnacentral:rRNA from 1 species
AUUGAACGCUGGCGGCAUGCCUUACACAUGCAAGUCGAACGGCAGCACGGGAGCAAUCCUGGUGGCGAGUGGCGAACGGGUGAGUAAAGUAUCGGAACGUGCCCAGUCGUGGGGGAUAACGUAGCGAAAGUUACGCUAAUACCGCAUACGAUCUAUGGAUGAAAGCGGGGGAUCGCAAGACCUCGCGCGAUUGGAGCGGGCGAUAUCAGAUUAGGUAGUUGGUGGGGUAAAGGCUAACCAAGCCGACGAUCUGUAGCUGGUCUGAGAGGACGACCAGCCACACUGGGACUGAGACACGGCCCAGACUCCUACGGGAGGCAGCAGUGGGGAAUUUUGGACAAUGGGCGAAAGCCUGAUCCAGCCAUGCCGCGUGCAGGAUGAAGGCCUUCGGGUUGUAAACUGCUUUUGUACGGAACGAAAAGGUUUGGCCUAAUAAGCUGAGCUCAUGACGGUACCGUAAGAAUAAGCACCGGCUAACUACGUGCCAGCCGCCGCAGUAA